UUCCUUAGGGGGAAGGUCAUGUCGUUUAUGUUUAUACAUAUCAUAAGCGUAUGGCUUUUCCCCUUGGGAU
rnacentral:pre_miRNA from 1 species